AAGGUCAAGUGACUGAUGUAUUUGCCCAAAGGUUUGAAUAACAUUUGUAGGACCUGCAAGAAGGUCACAAACUGAACUCAAGCAUGAGGGUGCUCAAAACCUUGCUCCAAAACAAGGAG